rnacentral:rRNA from 1 species
GAAGCUGGAUUCGCUAGUAAUCGCGCAUCAGCCAUGGCGCGGUGAAUACGUUCCCGGGCCUUGUACACACCGCCCGUCAAGCCAUGAAAGCCGGGGGCGCCUGAAGUCCGUGACCGCGAGGGUCGGCCUAGGGUGAAACCGGUGAUUGGGGCUAAGUCGUAACAAGGUAAC